GUGCCAGCCGCCGCGGUAAUACGGAGGGUGCAAGCGUUAUCCGGAUUCAUUGGGUUUAAAGGGUGCGCAGGCGGAUACUUAAGUCAGUGGUGAAAUCCCGGGGCUCAACCCCGGAACUGCCAUUGAUACUGAAUAUCUGGAAUACGGUUGAAGUGGGCGGAAUGUAGCAUGUAGCGGUGAAAUGCAUAGAGAUGCUACAGAACACCGAUCGCGAAGGCAGCUCACUAAGCCGAUAUUGACGCUCAGGCACGAAAGCGUGGGGAGCGAACAGGAUUAGAUACCCUGGUAGUCCACGCCGUAAACGAUGAUAACUCGUUGUUGGCGACACACAGUCAGCGACUAAGCGAAAGCGAUAAGUUAUCCACCUGGGGAUACGAUCGCAAGGUUGAAACUCAAAGGAAUUGACGG
rnacentral:rRNA from 1 species